ACAGUAUAUACAUAUGCACAUAUUUACAGCUACCCUAAUGUUCUGUUUGGUGUCGUGGAGACCCCGUCCCUCUUUAACAACUCCAAAAACAUACUUAACAUUGUCUUAUCACUUUGAUACUUUAUGACUUUUUAUAAUUUUAUGAUUCUAAUAUUAUUGCUUGUAAACAUGAUUUUGAACAAAUUACAUUAUACUAUGAUUACUUUACACUGACCACAGUCGUGCUGUUUUUACUAGGGGUGUAAGAAAAUAUUAAAAUAUCGCAAUAAUAUAUUUUGUGAUACUGUAUCGAUUCUCAAAAACAGUGGCCGACGUGAAAACGCGAAUGACCCUCUCUAGAGCCAGUUGUUGUAAGAGUAGAGUGCGUGGAGUGUGUGUGUUAGAGGGAAUUGAGUGGUGAAGUAAGUGAGACAGAGCGGCGGCGACAGGAGCGACUCCGGACCAAGCAGGAAAAGUUAACAGUUGUUCUGGGCUACUGUAGAAACAUGGCGGACUCCGUGAAGAGGACCCGCUCCCUAGAUGUAAACGGCUCAUUAUAAGGUAACGCAAACACAACUCUUAUUAUCAGGUGAUUAAACACUAAAGAAAACAUAAUUAUUACUAUCACAUUCCAUAUCUGCCAAUAGAUCCCCUUUAUUGUUACACGCUGGUCCUUUAACUCAAUCGAUACUUUAUUUUAUUGGCAAAGAGAUGUGUCCUCUCAAAGUAGUGCUAUGAUGUUGGAGGCUAUAGGGGCUGUGAUAAAUGCAAAGGCAGAUCUCACGGUCCUGAUUACAUUAAGGAAAUAAACCUUUCCAUUAUGCAUAUAGCAUUUUUUUCUUUAUACUAUGACAGUUUUCCUAAAAUUUGAUUUUUAAAAAAUCACAAUAUAUCACCUUGCUUACAGUAUCGCAAUAAAUCACAAUAUAUUGAAUUGUAACGCCUAUAUCAUGAUACGUAUCAUAUCGCCAGAUUCUUGCCAAUACACAGCCGUAGUUUAUACAUUAUAAAAAAUGUUUACUGUAUAAACUUAAUUGUCAUAUAAAUUUAUGAACUGUAGACUCAAAAUAAAAUAAAUCUUUAUGAAAAGAUAUUUUUUUCUUUUGUUUUUUUCUUUUUGUGAAAUUUGUUUAUAUAAGUGUAACAAAUGACAAACAAAAAACAUGAAGCAUUUCCACUUCAUCUCCCCCUCUACCCCUCUCCACCUCACAUUUCUCAUGUGCCCACAUUUGCUGCACUUGCUAAGUGAAGCACAAUGCCGAGGCAUGUUGUUGCACAUUUCAUUGGCCCCUUCAAAUGCACUUUUUCAGAUGCAAAUAGGGGUUGCCAUAGUAACUGUGGGCUUAAAUGUAGCUCGCCUUCUAAAUGGGGAAUAAGAACAUUUAAAAAGUAGAACACUCCAAAGAAUACAAUGAGAACGGAGAGAGAGACAGACGGGGAGGGAGGGAGGGAGAGAUCUUUUGCCUUCUUGAGGAGUGAGGGCUAUAAAAAGCGCUGUAGCCCUGCAAGGUGGCAGUUGGCUUGGCAUCUAUUCGCUGCAUUGUCCCUCUCCCUGUCACACACACACAGAGAUAAGAUCCAGCACUCGCCCGGCCAUUCCUCCUGCAGCUCUGACACACACACAUGCACACACACCACCGACACGCUCAACAGAAAUCUGUUGUAAUCUGCAUAUGUAACAGCGUGAGGAAAGUGAAAAGGAAAUCUGUAUGCCCUCAGACACCUGGAGCAUCGAUUACUCUUUCUGUCCUCAUUUCACCUUUUAUAGAUCGACAUCGGCGUAUGCAGGAGGACACAGUGAGGCGAAUACAGACUUCAAGCCAAGUCACACAAGAUGUACAGAUGUGGACACAUGCAGACACUGGCGUGAUUGAUUAAACACUACAAAGUAAGCAUUUUGUGCAAAUACCCGUCCAAAUUUUAUAUAUACGUGUGCACAAAAUUUCACACUCUCUGCACAAAUAACACAAAACUGAGAGAAUUUAUUCCUGACACAUAUUAUGUAAAGGGACACGUGCUGAACAGAAGACUGUGUUAUGCUAAUUGAAGGCUUCUCAAAUUCAUUUAAUUCACUGUUGAAAUAAAUUCACUGGAGCAGCCUGCAUGAACAGCUGUCAUCAUCGAUGUCACUUAGUCCAUCCCAAGAACGGAGCUCUUGUCCUGACAAGGAAAUAGGCUUGAUGGUGAGCAAAGUUUAAUAGUUUACGUGCGCUAUGAGAGUGACCAAAAAGUUCUCAUAACUAAAAGACAAAGUUGGUUGUUAGUUUGCGCCUUUCAAAACAACCUAUUUGACGAAUAUGAGCUCUUUCUGAUCUGCUACCUUUAGGUCUGGUUUAUUUUAGGCAACUAAGCU